UACGGAGGGUGCAAGCGUUAUCCGGAUUUACUGGGUUUAAAGGGUGCGUAGGUGGGUAGGUAAGUCAGUGGUGAAAUCUUCAAGCUUAACUUGGAAACUGCCAUUGAUACUAUUUAUCUUGAAUACUUUGGAGGUAAGCGGAAUAUGUCACGUAGCGGUGAAAUGCUUAGAUAUGACAUAGAACACCAAUUGCGAAGGCAGCUUACUACACAGUAAUUGACACUGAGGCACGAAAGCGUGGGGAUCAAACAGG
rnacentral:rRNA from 1 species